GACGAACGCUGGCGGCGUGCCUAAUACAUGCAAGUAGAACGCUGAAGAGAGGAGCUUGCUCUUCUUGGAUGAGUUGCGAACGGGUGAGUAACGCGUAGGUAACCUGCCUUGUAGCGGGGGAUAACUAUUGGAAACGAUAGCUAAUACCGCAUAACAAUGGAUGACACAUGUCAUUUAUUUGAAAGGGGCAAUUGCUCCACUACAAGAUGGACCUGCGUUGUAUUAGCUAGUAGGUGAGGUAAUGGCUCACCUAGGCGACGAUACAUAGCCGACCUGAGAGGGUGACCGGCCACAUGGGAACGGAGACCCGGCCAGGACUCCUACGGGAGGCAGCAGUAGGGAAUCUUCGGCAAAGGGGGCAACCCUGACCGAGCAACGCCGCGUGAGUGAGGAAGGUUUCCGGAUCGUAAAGCUCUGUGGUAGGUCAAGAACGGGUGUGGAAGUGAAAGUUCACACUGUGACGGUAGCUUACCAGAAAGGGACGGCUAACUACGUG
rnacentral:rRNA from 1 species